rnacentral:misc_RNA from 1 species
GUCAGACCAGACCAAUGCAAAUAAAAUUAUCGCCAUUGGAAUGUGGUUGGAGGAGUGUUACAAUGGAUGGCAGAAGCAUUGAAUCAGAUCUUAUUGGAAAAGAUACAUUUGAAAGUUUUGAAACCUGGAUUUUGGAAAACAAAAUGAUAACUUGUAUGACCAGUAAUUUAG